rnacentral:tRNA from 1 species
UCCUCAGUAGCUCAGCUGGUCAGAGCACCUGACUGUUAAUCAGGGUGUCGCUGGUUCGAAUCCAGCCUGGGGAG